rnacentral:rRNA from 1 species
UACAGAGGGGGCAAGCGUUGUUCGGAAUUACUGGGCGUAAAGGGCGCGUAGGCGGCCUGCUAAGUCGAACGUGAAAUCCCUGGGCUCAACCCAGGAACUGCGUCCGAUACUGGUUGGCUUGAAUCCGGGAGAGGGAUGCGGAAUUCCAGGUGUAGCGGUGAAAUGCGUAGAUAUCAGGAGGAACACCGGUGGCGAAGGCGGAUCUCUGGGCCUUACCUGACGCUGAGGCGCGAAAGCUAGGGGAGCAAACAGG